UGAACACGAAGUGCAAGGGAAAAAAUGGC
rnacentral:piRNA from 1 species